CCACGGAAUCUGGGCUGCCUCUAGAAGCUGGAAAACGGAAGCAACAGAUGCUCCCCGGCAGCCUUCUGAAAGAACACAGCCCUGCUGACACCUUAACUUUAGUCCAAAAGCACAAGCAAGAAUGUGUGAGAAGAUCACAGAGACCUAAAGAAGGGGAAGGGAAGAACCCACAUGUGAGAGAGAAGAGAUUGUCUGACUUGGUGUUGCGCCUUAAAGCACUAUCCAAUAAACCUCCUACAUGCAAAUCUCCAUCUCAGAAUCUGUAUCCAAGAGAUUCUACUCAAGACAUCAUCUUUUCCAGUCAGUGUUCCUAAUUGCACUGCCCCUGGAAAACGCACGGAGAAGAAAUACAGCAAAAUACAUGAGAUGGUGAAACACUCUGGCAACUGCAAGCGGACAGAUGGGAUCUGGGAGGUAAUGCAGGGUCACAGGGCAGUUACACCAGGAUAUUUGGUUCUUUCCUACUCUCCUUUCCCCACCCUCAAUGCUAUAUACAUAACUGCUAGUGAAUCAAUUUAUGUACAUAUCCCAGAUAUCUAGGACUGGUUGAGGCGGGUUAUCCAAGAGAGUCACAGUGUAUUACCAUUUUUUAUUAAGUACAACCAGACCAACAGAGAACUGAUUAACUCAACCACUGAACUUUAUGUUUUCCCCCAUCAUCUAUAGAAUUGAUUUUACUGGAUUUUGACAUGUCAGUUUAUCACUUACUUUAUCCUUCAGUGAAGGACACACUAAGGAAUGGAGUUAUUAAGCUUGUUCUACUGGCUGUGAGGAUGUUGUUGAGGGACAUUGUUCAUGACGUUAUGUUGUGUCAUUUUUAUGAGGACUCAAUGGAAGGACUUCUGUCUGAUUUCAGUACUGGAAGUAGUCAUACUUCUCCUGAGCAACCAUUUUCUUUCUCCGUUAUAAAAAUCUCAUUGUCUCUGUGAA
rnacentral:lncRNA from 1 species